rnacentral:rRNA from 1 species
UACGUAGGGUGCGAGCGUUGUCCGGAAUUACUGGGCGUAAAGAGCUUGUAGGUGGUUUGUCGCGUCUGCCGUGAAAGUCCGGGGCUCAACUCCGGAUCUGCGGUGGGUACGGGCAGACUAGAGUGAUGUAGGGGAGACUGGAAUUCCUGGUGUAGCGGUGAAAUGCGCAGAUAUCAGGAGGAACACCGAUGGCGAAGGCAGGUCUCUGGGCCAUAACUGACGCUGAGGAGCGAAAGCU